rnacentral:rRNA from 1 species
GACGAACGCUGGCGGCGUGCCUAGUACAUGCAAGUAGAACGCUGAAGAGAGGAGCUUGCUCUUCUUGGAUGAGUUGCGAACGGGUGAGUAACGCGUAGGUAACCUGCCUUGUAGCGGGGGAUAACUAUUGGAAACGAUAGCUAAUACCGCAUAACAAUGGAUGAUACAUGUCAUUUAUUUGAAAGGGGCAAUUGCUCCACUACAAGAUGGACCUGCGUUGUAUUAGCUAGUAGGUGAGGUAAUGGCUCACCUAGGCGACGAUACAUAGCCGACCUGAGAGGGUGAUCGGCCACACUGGGACUGAGACACGGCCCAGACUCCUACGGGAGGCAGCAGUAGGGAAUCUUCGGCAAUGGGGGCAACCCUGACCGAGCAACGCCGCGUGAGUGAAGAAGGUUUUCGGAUCGUAAAGCUCUGUUGUAAGUCAAGAACGGGUGUGAGAGUGGAAAGUUCACACUGUGACGGUAGCUUACCAGAAAGGGACGGCUAACUACGUG